AGGGUGAAUGGGCAAGACAAAAAAUAUUGAAGUGCCUUUGAACAGGGUGUGGUAAUGGUGGAACUUAACAUUAGGACAGUGUACUUAAUGCUUUGUAAACUCAGUGUAGGUCAUUGUCUGUUUUAGACUACAGCAUUUACACCUGCAGGAGAACCACAUCUCAGUAGUACCAAAGGUGUUACCGAGGAACCUGGAACAGAAGGGAUAUUUGUAACAACCGCAGGUGUGUCUGGAACAAAAUUGUGAUUGAACAGGAUUUCGGGAAUCCUCCUGUCUCUGAGGGGUUGGAGACUGAAUACAUUAAUGGAUGAGUGUGGUCAAUCCAAAAACUAUUCCCCCACUCACACAUUCCUGGAUGCUGAGGACAGAGGAAUUGUAUGGAGCGUACGGUUUGCUACUACCAGAGCUUUGUUUCCUCAAUGUGGCUGAUCAUAAGAUUGUUGAGGAAGAAGCACUGUUGUCUGUAGCUGUGUUUGCUCAGUGAGCUUGUUAUUCACUCCAACCCACUGACCACAUGGGGGAAGUGGUCACCCCUGUACUGCUGACUGACUUCCUCCAGGAAAGGCUGGGUAUUAGAAUUAGGUGCAAGAAGACAUCAGGGGCUGGUUUCCAAGACCCAGAUUAAGCCUUGACUAAAAUACAUUCUCAAUAGACUCUCCAUUGAAAAUACUUUUUAGUCCAGGACUAGGCUUUCUGUGUCUAGGAAAUUGGCACCAGACGUUGUGAAACCUUUUGAUAUUAUGUGUUGAUUCCAAACGACAGGUUCAAAUGCAAAAACAAUUGAAUCCACAUUUUGGCUUUGCAUUCACCUGGAAAGUUAAAUAUGACUGGACAGUCUUUGUUUUCAUUUCAAUAUUUUGUAAACACUGCAUUUUGGUCUAACAGUGACUCACUUUUGAUAUUGAAACUAAUUGAUGAACAUUCAUCUUUCUCUAGGUAAUUUGUUAAAAUCCCUGUUUUGUUUGCUUCCAUUUAACUAAUGUUUUUCAACAGAAUCAUCAGCAUGAAUAAACCCCUGAUCACGA